rnacentral:rRNA from 1 species
UACGUAGGGGGCAAGCGUUGUCCGGAAUUACUGGGCGUAAAGGGCUCGUAGGCGGCCAACUAAGUCGGAUGUGAAAUCCCCAGGCUCAACCUGGGAACUGCAUCCGAUACUGGAUGGCUUGAAUUCGGGAGAGGGAUGCAGAAUUCCAGGUGUAGCGGUGAAAUGCGUAGAUAUCUGGAGGAACACCGAUGGCGAAGGCAGCUCGCUGGGACGUGACUGACGCUGAGACGCGAAAGCGUGGGGAGCAAACAGG